rnacentral:lncRNA from 1 species
GGCCCGACUGCGCACGCGUGCUCACCUGGCGCGCUCCGCGUGGAGGGGCGUCCGCAGGCUCCUCCCCCGGGCGAGGCCUCGGGGCGGCUCCGCUGCGGCGCCAGUGAUCCCCGCGCGGCCUGAAGGUGGGCUGCCGAGAGGGAAAGGGGACGCCGCGGCGGGGCUGCGGUGCGGAGCGCCGAGCUUUUAGGAUGCAUCAGUAAACAAAAAUCCCUCACUUGCGGAGUUGAUAUUCUUGCAAGGAGAAGACAGGAUAAACAAUAAACACAAACAGCAUUAUUCCUAAUAGCCAAGACGUGGAAGCAACCCAAGUGCCCAACGACUGAUGAACAGAUAAAGAAGAUGUGGUAUAUAUACACAAUGGAAUACUACUCAGCCAUAAAAAAGACAAAAUCGUCCCAUUUGCAACAAUACGGGUGGACCUUGAGAGUAUUAUGUUAAGCAAAAUAAGCCAGACAGAGAAAGAGAAACACCAUGUGAUUUCACUCAUAUAUGGAAGAUAGAUAAAUACACGGACAAAGGGAACAGUUAAACGGUUACCAGGGGAAGGAGGCUGGAGUGGGCACAAAGGGUGAAGGGGAGCAUUUAUAUGGUGAUGGACAAAUAAUGUACAACUGAAAUUUCACAAUGUUGUAAACUAUUAUGAUAUCAAUAAAAAAAAAAAAGUUUUCCCCCCAGUACCUGUAGCUGCUAUAGUCCCAACUACUAUGAUGUCAUCGUGGUCCCUCCCCAGCCUGAGAAGGGGCGUUGCAGGGACUGCUCCCUCCAAAACAAAACAAAAGAAAAAACACAGAAAUGUAAUUUCAGCAUCAGCAGUCUUCUACUAGUCUGCCUCCCGUCUUCAACACCCCCAAACUCAGAUGCAGUGGAGCUCAGGCUAGGCCCAAGUUUCCACUAAGCACCUGGGGCCGGGGACAGGCACACUGGAGGCUGGAGUUGCCUCCUUCGUUCUCCCUCCUGAGCAGUCAGCCAUGUCCGGUCAGGGAAGGAAGGCCCAGCAGGCUGCCUGUGGAGUGGGAGUCCCUGGCUCACUCCCACAGCUGUUGCCCAAGCCUCACUGAAAGCUCCCUGCCCAGCUGCCCUGCUCCUGCCUUUGUAGAAAUCUCUGAAACACCUUUGCAGCAUAGAAAAUAAAAAUGUUUGCUUUGUUCAAAAAAACCCCCACAACUUUCCUUUCUCAUAAACCACUCACUGUAAGCAAAAUCAACAAAGAAGAAACUGGAGGGGCUAGCCCCAUGGCCAAGUGGUUAAGUUCACGCUGUCUACUUCAGUGGGCCAGGGUUUCACCAGUUCAAAUCCUGGGUGCAGACAUGGCACCGUUCAUCAGGCCAUGCUGAGGCAGCAUCCCACAUGGCACAACUAGAAGGACCCACAACUUAAAAUACACAACUAUGUACCAGGGGGCUUUGGGGAGAAAAGGGAAAAACAAAAUCUUAAAAAAAAAAAAAAAAGAAAGAAACUGGCAAAAGUAAAGAGCUCCUAGAAAUCAAUAAUAAUAAAAAAGACUAACAACCCAGUGGGUCAAGGAUGUGAGCAAACACUUAAGAGGGAAAAAAUGGAAACAUGUCUCUCAACCAUGAAAAGCUGAGAAACUUCAGAAAAAUGUAAAUUAAAAUAGCAUAAAGUAUUUUCCACCUUUUUUUCCAAAGUCAGAAAGUUUGCUGACUUUACAAGAUAGGAAGAAACAGACACUCUCAUAUAUUGCUGGUGGUGGUAUAAAUUGGUACAAGCUCAAUGGAGAAGAAUUUGGCAAUAACUAAUACAAAUCUAAAACUCUUCUAUCCAGCAAUCCCACUUCUUGGAGUUUAUCCUACAUAUAUCCUUGCAAAUCCAGAUGCCCCAUCCUAGCAGAAGUCUGAAGGUUUUUUCUCUGGAAAAGGCAAAACAGUUUCUGUACAGGGGAUACAAAACCAAAUUAACGUCACAAGUAGUAUCUUGAAAAUGAGAAUUAAGUGAGCAUGUGAUUCCUGAACACUGGGAUCCUCAUCCUUUUCUCCCCACUGGGCCCCCAGAACACUGACAACCAACUUUUCCAUGCAGAAAUUUUAGAAGAUUCUUUUCUGGAAAAUCUGACAAUUCCCAAAAUAUAGGCAUAAAAGUUUCCCCAACAAAUGGCCCAUGCACAUUACCCUACAGUGAACCCCAAAGUCUGAAAAUCCUGAAAGCCAUAUGCUCAGAUCUUCCAAACAGCUUUUUAGUCCCUGGCUUUUAAUCAUAAGCAGAUAACCAAGGCUUAUCCAUACAUCUGUGAAAAGCUUCUAAAUGUGAGUUUUAGAGAUCAAAACAAAUGAACAGAAAAAAAGCAAUGUUGGAGAAAACAGGCUAUGCAGAGAGAUGAAAAUUUCAAAACAAAUGCCAAUAUUCUCAGGUAAGUGGAUAGUGCAUCCAUGAAACAAAAACAGGAUGACAUUUUUGUAAGAAAUAAAGAUCUCUUGGAUAUUAAAAACAUGAUAGCAGGAAUAAAAACCCUAGAACUUGGAAAAGAAAGUUGAGAAAAUCUCCCAGAAAGAGCAACAAGACAAAGAGGAAUCGUGGAAGAAAAAGAGAAGUGCUGUAACAAAGAUAUUUGAUUUCACAUGAAGAAAUGAAGACUUUUUCCCAGUCUGAAUGAACAGUCCGUGUCGGUGGGGCAGCUCUUGCUCUGUGUGGUCCUUCAGGGAUCCUGAUUCUGUACAUCUUUGUUUUCCACGGUCGCUAGGACAUUUCACUAUCUGUGUGGUUGAAGCUCUGUCACUGGCACUUCUGGAUGCCAGCCAGC